rnacentral:lncRNA from 10 species
ACACCACUACUGUUAAAUAGGCAGAGCUAAGACUUAGGGGACUGGCAGAUUAUUGCAAAAAGGGCACGGGGCAGAAGGACUAUGUUGUGAGCCUGCGAAAGAAGUUUGUGUGGGGACUGUGGGCAGUGAACGCGUUGGGAACAAUAUGGAAAACUGGGAGCUGCCUUGGAAUCUACAGGGCCGGGCUGAAGAAAAGAAGAAUGGUAUUCACGCAGUUCCCAUUUUACAGAUGAAAACAAGAGGACUUUUUCUGUGAAGUCAAGAAAGUGGUUACAAUGGUACUUUCAGCCUGUCCGAAUUAUGUAUUGCCCCUCCCCUUUUUAUUAAUAACAUUGAAGUGUGAUGGGAAAACCACUGAAGCCGUCAGUUGAAACCUGCUGGGACUUUUUAGCCAUUCUCUUCAACAUAAAGAAUGGGUGUUUUUGGAGGGGGUGAGAGGAAUGGGGAAAUGUUGUCAAAGAGUACAGUGUUUUAGUUGAGACAGGAAGAAUAUAUUUUGUUGAGAUCUACAGCACAGCAUGGUGACUGUAGUUAACAAUGAAGUAUUGUGUAUUUCAAAAUUGCUAAGACAAUAAAUUUCAAAUGUUCUCACCACAAAAAAGAUAGGUUUUGAGGUGAUGAAUCUA